UACGUAGGGUGCGAGCGUUGUCCGGAAUUAUUGGGCGUAAAGGGCUCGUAGGCGGUCUGUUGCGUCGGGGGUGAAAACUCAGGGCUUAACCCUGAGCCUGCUUCCGAUACGGGCAGACUAGAGGUAUGCAGGGGAGAACGGAAUUCCUGGUGUAGCGGUGAAAUGCGCAGAUAUCAGGAGGAACACCGGUGGCGAAGGCGGUUCUCUGGGCCAUUACUGACGCUGAGGAGCGAAAGCGUGGGGAGCGAACAGG
rnacentral:rRNA from 1 species